AUUGAACGCUGGCGGCAGGCCUAACACAUGCAAGUCGAGCGGAUGAAGGGAGCUUGCUCCUGGAUUCAGCGGCGGACGGGUGAGUAAUGCCUAGGAAUCUGCCUGGUAGUGGGGGAUAACGUCCGGAAACGGGCGCUAAUACCGCAUACGUCCUGAGGGAGAAAGUGGGGGAUCUUCGGACCUCACGCUAUCAGAUGAGCCUAGGUCGGAUUAGCUAGUUGGUGGGGUAAAGGCCUACCAAGGCGACGAUCCGUAACUGGUCUGAGAGGAUGAUCAGUCACACUGGAACUGAGACACGGUCCAGACUCCUACGGGAGGCAGCAGUGGGGAGUAUUGGACAAUGGGCGAAAGCCUGAUCCAGCCAUGCCGCGUGUGUGAAGAAGGUCUUCGGAUUGUAAAGCACUUUAAGUUGGGAGGAAGGGCAGUAAGUUAAUACCUUGCUGUGUUGACGUUACCAACAGAAUAAGCACCGGCUAACUUCGUG
rnacentral:rRNA from 1 species